rfam:Aedes albopictus isolate Foshan contig15522, whole genome shotgun sequence.
UGUUCUGUGGCUUAGAAGGUUAAAGCGCCGGUCUAGCGAAUACGGAGUCGUGGGUUUGAAUCCCACCAGAACGC